ensembl:snRNA U6 U6 spliceosomal RNA
GUGCUCGCUUCAGCAGCACAGAUACUAAAAUUGGAAUGAUUUAGAGAUUAGCAUGGCCCCUGUGCAAGGAUGACACUGAAAUUCGUGAAGCAUUCCAUAUUUUU